GAUGAACACUGGCGGCGUGCCUAAUACAUGCAAGUCGAGCGAACGGACGAGAAGCUUGCUUCUCUGAUGUUAGCGGCGGACGGGUGAGUAACACGUGGAUAACCUACCUAUAAGACUGGGAUAACUUCGGGAAACCGGAGCUAAUACCGGAUAAUAUUUUGAACCGCAUGGUUCAAAAGUGAAAGACGGUCUUGCUGUCACUUAUAGAUGGAUCCGCGCUGCAUUAGCUAGUUGGUAAGGUAACGGCUUACCAAGGCAACGAUGCAUAGCCGACCUGAGAGGGUGAUCGGCCACACUGGAACUGGGACACGGUCCAGACUCCUACGGGAGGCAGCAGUAGGGAAUCUUCCGCAAUGGGCGAAAGCCUGACGGAGCAACGCCGCGUGAGUGAUGAAGGUCUUCGGAUCGUAAAACUCUGUUAUUAGGGAAGAACAUAUGUGUAAGUAACUGUGCACAUCUUGACGGUACCUAAUCAGAAAGCCACGGCUAACUACGUG
rnacentral:rRNA from 1 species